rnacentral:SRP_RNA from 1 species
CGGGCGUGGUGGCGUGUGCCUGUAGUCCCAGCUCCUCCAGAGUCUGAGGCUGGAGGAUCGCUUGAGUCCAGGAGUUCUGGGCUGUAGUGAGCUAUGCUGAUCACGUGUCCGCACUGUUUGGCAUCAAUAUGGUGACCUCCUGGGAGCCGGGGACCACCAGGUUGCCUAAGAAGGGGUGAACCGGCCCAGGUCGGAAACAGAGCAGGUCAAAACUCCUGUCCUGAUCAGUAGUGGGAUCGAGCCUGUGAAUAGCCACUGCACUCCAGCCUGGGCAACAUAGGGAGACCCCAUCUCU